CACUAGCUUCUUGAAGGUUGACAUCGGCAGAGUUUUGGUGAAUAAAUCAGCCAUAUUAACUCCAAUGAAUAUAUUGCACCUUGAAAAUCCUCGCUAUCAGAUUAUCAUGCUUAUAGUUAUAGCAAGAUACAAAUACGCACAAAUUGCACUUAGCAUGUGGUACUUCAAGACCAAAAAUUGUAUAUGCUUUAAGCGGUUUAUGUCCUUCAAGGAUUGUCAUAUAAGUUAAGCCAUAUAAUCCAUUUAAAGAGGCUUUAGUGCAUAUCAAGUUUUUAUGUCUUGCAUAAACAUAUAAGAUAUCGAAAACUGAUUGCAUAUACCAUUGACUUUAUACUUUCAAGUACUUGAACUACAUGUCCAAAAUUACAUGUCUUUCAUAUGGAAUCAAUUCUACUUCAAUUGUAUUUCUUCCAUUUGGCCAAUACUUUUGUGUCUAUAUUCGAU
rnacentral:lncRNA from 1 species